rnacentral:rRNA from 1 species
GACGAACGCUGGCGGCGUGCCUAAUACAUGCAAGUUGAGCGCUGAAGGUUGGUACUUGUACCAACUGGAUGAGCAGCGAACGGGUGAGUAACGCGUGGGGAAUCUGCCUUUGAGCGGGGGACAACAUUUGGAAACGAAUGCUAAUACCGCAUAAAAACUUUAAACACAAGUUUUAAGUUUGAAAGAUGCAAUUGCAUCACUCAAAGAUGAUCCCGCGUUGUAUUAGCUAGUUGGUGAGGUAAAGGCUCACCAAGGCGAUGAUACAUAGCCGACCUGAGAGGGUGAUCGGCCACAUUGGGACGGAGACACGGCCCAAACUCCUACGGGAGGAAGCAGUAGGGAAUCUUCGGCAAUGGACGAAAGUCUGACCGAGCAACGCCGCGUGAGUGAAGAAGGUUUUCGGAUCGUAAAACUCUGUUGGUAGAGAAGAACGUUGGUGAGAGUGGAAAGCUCAUCAAGUGACGGUAACUACCCAGAAAGGGACGGCUAACUACGUG